rnacentral:rRNA from 1 species
AUUGAACGCUGGCGGCAUGCCUUACACAUGCAAGUCGAACGGCAGCACGGGAGCAAUCCUGGUGGCGAGUGGCGAACGGGUGAGUAAUGUAUCGGAACGUGCCCAGUCGUGGGGGAUAACGCAGCGAAAGCUGUGCUAUACCGCAUACGAUCUAUGGAUGAAAGCGGGGGAUCGCAAGACCUCGCGCGAUUGGAGCGGCCGAUAUCAGAUUAGGUAGUUGGUGGGGUAAAGGCCCACCAAGCCUGCGAUCUGUAGCUGGUCUGAGAGGACGCUCGGCCACACUGGGACUGAGACACGGCCCAGACUCCUACGCGAGGCAGCAGUGGGGAAUUUUGGACAAUGGGCGCAAGCCUGAUCCAGCAAUGCCGCGUGCAGGAUGAAGGCCUUCGGGUUGUAAACUGCUUUUGUACGAGACGUAAAGACUCGCUCUAAUACAGUGGGUACAUGACGGUAUCGUAAGAAUAAGCACCGGCUAACUACGUGCCAGCCGCCGCAGUAAUAC